CUCUUCUCUGAUUGUAGAGAUCUUCUCAGUGAAGGGAGGUGCAAAGUUUGUGGCGGACAAGGUGGUAGAAGGAGGGGGAGUAAAAGGGCGAAGAUGAGCAUCAAAAGUGUGAAGUAGGUGUUUGGGUUGAUGGGACAAUGUACUUAUGAGGGUCUUAAAGUAAUUUACUUUUGCAGAGGAAAGAGCCAGGCUGUAGGAGCGCAGCAUAAAUUUAUAGUGGAGGAAAUCAGAUGCAAAGUGAGACUUUCUCCAGCAGUGUUCAGUAGUUCUAGAACAUUUUUGGAGGUAACGGAUCAGCUUGGUGUGCCAGAGUUGUAACUGGGGGCGCUUGCUGCGUUUACUUGUAGGAGGUGCCAUGAUAUCGAGUUGAGAGGAGAGAGUUGAGUUGUAGAGUGAGGUUGCAGAGUUAGAGCAAGUUAGAUUUGGGAUGGGUAAAAGGAGAG